UAUGAAGAACUAUAGCAUAUAUAAAUUUAUGAUAUUAUUACCUUGUGUAAAUAAAAUUUCUGUAGGAGAUAAGCUUUCAGAUCCACACCUGGAAAGAACUAAAUGAUAUCCAAUCAAUUGGGGAGAGAAUUCUGGCUUUGGAAGAAAGGGGUGCUGAAGGGCUUCCCUUGUAUCCCAGCAGAGGCUCCUGCAAAGGUCAGCUUCACUUCUAGUGUAUUAUGAGGAGAGCUCAUUAGCAGGGAAGCAAUGUCAGUUCCCAUGACAUCUGCAGGUCUUCCCUAGACCUUCCAUUGUAUCCUGGGGAGCCCUGGCAUCCUCUGUGAUGUCACUAUGUUGUGGCCACACCCACUGUCCUUGGGAAGUUUAUUCAGUGCCUUUACCAUUUACUGAUGAACAUGAUGGCAUACUGAAGUCUAAUUCAGAAAGAGAAUGGAGAGCGUAGAGAGACCAGAGAGUGACAGAAGAAAGCUGACUUUCAGCCUCAGUGUAAAACAUCAAGGAAGAAAUGGUCGAGAGAAUGGUGCAAUGAGUUCUGUGCAGGAAAAUGGAAGUUUCCUGGAAGAAGUGGUCUUGAGCUGAAUCUUCCAGUAAUGGGGAACAGAAAGCUGGAGUCUCUGGGAACCAACAGAACUUCCCUGCAAGUCAUAGCUCAUGAAAUUCAAGGAUUCUAGGAUAUUAAUUGUUUUGCCUCAGAGGACAGAAACUGGUAUGAUCAUGGAGAAUUUGUUUUUGAAUACAGGAGAAACAUCUUCACAGAUUCUGGAGGGUACACACCUGUGGAGUAGAUGCUAAGUAAAUUCUUAGACAGCUAUUUCAGCAAACCUCCUGAGAGAGCUCAUGCACCUCCACCUCCAUCAUCUAAACAGCCUGCCUCUGCUGGCCUAGAGUCAGAAUAGCUGUAAGUAAAUUGUAUGCCACUUUU